GACGAACGCUGGCGGCGUGCUUAACACAUGCAAGUCGUACGAUGAAGCCGGAGCUUGCUCUGGUGAAUUAGUGGCGAACGGGUGAGUAACACGUGAGUAACCUGCCCUUGACUCUGGGAUAACUGCGGGAAACUGUAGCUAAUACCGGAUACGACCCUCGGAGGCAUCUCCUGGGGGUGGAAAGAAUUUCGGUCAAGGAUGGACUCGCGGCCUAUCAGCUAGUUGGUGAGGUAACGGCUCACCAAGGCGACGACGGGUAGCCGGCCUGAGAGGGUGACCGGCCACACUGGGACUGAGACACGGCCCAGACUCCUACGGGAGGCAGCAGUGGGGAAUAUUGCACAAUGGGCGCAAGCCUGAUGCAGCAACGCCGCGUGAGGGAUGACGGCCUUCGGGUUGUAAACCUCUUUUAGCAGGGAAGAAGCGAAAGUGACGGUACCUGCAGAAAAAGCACCGGCUAACUACGUGCCAGCAGCCGCGGUAA
rnacentral:rRNA from 1 species